UUUCAGAUAAAAGGGUCUAGAUUUGUUUAUUCAAAGAGCCAAAAGAUACAAUCAAUCUGCAGUCAAUUUAGCUUCUUCCUAAAUAUUGGAGUUUAUUUGGCACAUUGAGGAAAAUGACCAAGGCUUAUUAGCAGGUAUAAGCUUUUGCUACCAUUCAAGUGUGCCCUAGAUGCAGGACUUCUACACAGAUAAUAGCUCAAAUAUCAUUGUUUUAUUAAAUUAUUAUUU
rnacentral:lncRNA from 1 species